AGCGGGGGAUAACUAUUGGAAACGAUAGCUAAUACCGCAUAAUAGUAGAUGUUGCAUGACAUUUACUUAAAAGGUGCAAUUGCAUCACUACCAGAUGGACCUGCGUUGUAUUAGCUAGUUGGUGGGGUAACGGCUCACCAAGGCGACGAUACAUAGCCGACCUGAGAGGGUGAUCGGCCACACUGGGACUGAGACACGGCCCAGACUCCUACGGGAGGCAGCAGUAGGGAAUCUUCGGCAAUGGACGGAAGUCUGACCGAGCAACGCCGCGUGAGUGAAGAAGGUUUUCGGAUCGUAAAGCUCUGUUGUAAGAGAAGAACGAGUGUGAGAGUGGAAAGUUCACACUGUGACGGUAUCUUACCAGAAAGGGACGGCUAACUACGUGCCAGCAGCCGCGGUAAUACGUAGGUCCCGAGCGUUGUCCGGAUUUAUUGGGCGUAAAGCGAGCGCAGGCGGUUAGAUAAGUCUGAAGUUAAAGGCUGUGGCUUAACCAUAGUACGCUUUG
rnacentral:rRNA from 1 species